AGGAAAUGUUUUGCUUAUCUGUGAGAAAACUGUCCAGGUUGCAGUUGAGCAAGGGAUAGACCUUGCUCUAGAAUGCAUAGGAAGAUGUAUCCUAGAGGGAAGCGCCGAGGAGGGUGGUGGAGUUCUACAGACCGCUGCAGUGGGCAGGAUGAAGGUCUUUCUAACGACUCAGUGAAAAUGCUAAUGACCCACCUGUCAAAGGGGAGGAGCCAUCCAUUUCCUGGGCAGCUGGAAAUGUGGCCUUCAGGGUCUCUCCACACCAGUGAAGCAGCUCAGCCAGAUAAUGAGGAGAAGGAAGAGGACGUGGGAUGACAUGUUUCAAGAGAUCCUUCAAGCCUCUAGUGCUUCAAAUACUGAGCACUGGCUAUGACGGAGUCAAAGGCCUGAUGCUCUGUAUGAAGCCAGACAGAACUCGAGGUAACGUGACUCUCCUUAGGGCACGCUAUCCAGGGCAAGUAGCCUCUUCGGCUAUGGCCUUCCUGGGUCUGAACUCGGAGCAUUCGGCAUCUCUGUUCACACCGUAUGCUUCCUGGAGCGGGUCCAACUGGAUGGGACCCCUGGGGAAGCCAGAGGGCCCUGCCCCUCAACUCCGCAGUCAGCUGUGACUCUCUGCCAGCAUGUAACACAGAAGGUUUAUUAGGCAACAGGAACACAGCAUAGAACAGAUCACCUUAGCACAGAAAUAGUGACUUUCAGCAAAGUUCAUUUUGGGUGUGGGAGGGAUUGCUGGGUCGGACGCCCUGGACUACCCCUCUGUGAGUCCCCAACCACAGACUGCCCAGCUUCCAGCGACCCGACCUCCAACACACGUCACCCCACCUCCUGGUCUUUGUCUCGCUUCCCAGGCAAAGUAUGACCUGGUCGCAUCCCCUCCCCGCCUCCGCCUCAGGUUACGAAGAGCAUUGGCCAUCACUUAUGUGCAGGCAGCUGGAGCUGCCUCACCUGCCCCUGAGGGCCUCAGCAAAAGUCACACACCCUUAUUCUCACCACCUAGGCAUUGGUGCAAUACACAGGGAAACUGAGGUACACACAGUAUUCAUGCAAAACAUUAAGACUCACAUAGGCUCAAGUACAACAUAAUGAGGAGGAAAAACCUACUUUGUCACACAGGGCUUGGAGGAUCACCCUCACGGACAGCAUGAACAGGGAUAGAGUGGAGAUGAGAAAAGCACAGGAAAAGGAAAUAGAGGUGCAGCAGGAGAAGUUAGCACUUUUCAAGCGGCAAACAAACAUACUGGAGACACUUGUUGACCUUCAGAUUCAACAGACCCAUGUUUGCCUCCCUCUUCAGCCCAUAGAGAACUGCAUUCUGGGAAUCUCCCUAUACUCCCGCCCCUCCUCCUGCCCCCAUACAUUCCACGUGGCGUCCGGAGACGCUGCAAUACCCCUACCACUCCACGCCGGGGGAGAGUACAGACAAUCACAGCCCCACAUACACUGACCUGUGAGAGACACGGUUGGUGUAUGUGUUUGUGAAAUGGAAAUGACUGUUCUUUCCCCUUCAAAGGUUUUUCUCCCUGUAUUUAUAAAGUUUCAUUCAGCUAUAAAUAUGUCUGUUUGCAUGGGUUUGGAAUAAAAGUCUAUUUAUGGAAACUUAAUUCAUUUUUAUUAGUUCACAAUAUAUGCUGGCUGGGGCUGACAUUCACAGAUAAUAGCAAAAGAUGCAUUUGCAGUGUUUUAUUACUACACACACAGAACAUUCA